rnacentral:rRNA from 1 species
UCUGGAGACAGGUGGCUGCAUGGCUGUCGUCAGCUCGUGUCGUGAGAUGUUGGGUUAAGUACCCGCAACGAGCGCAACCCUUGCCUUUAGUUGCCAGCAGUUCGGCUGGGCACUCUAAAGGGACUGCCGGUGUUAAACCGGAGGAAGGUGGGGAUGACGUCAAGUCCUCAUGGCCUUUAUGACCAGGGCUACACACGUACUACAAUGGCCGAUACAAAGGGCAGCGACACUGCGAGGUGAAGCCAAUCCCGUAAAAUCGGUCUCAGUCCGGAUUGGAGUCUGCAACUCGACUCCAUGAAGUUGGAAUCGCUAGUAAUCGUGGAUCAGCAUGCCACGGUGAAUACGUUCCCGGGCCUU